AUACAGAGGGUGCGAGCGUUAAUCGGAAUUACUGGGCGUAAAGCGCGCGUAGGCGGCUUAUUAAGUCAGAUGUGAAAUCCCCGGGCUCAACCUGGGAACUGCAUCUGAUACUGGUAAGCUAGAGUUUUGGAGAGGGAAGUAGAAUUUCAGGUGUAGCGGUGAAAUGCAUAGAGAUCUGAAGGAAUACCAGUGGCGAAGGCGACCUCCUGGCCAAAAACUGACGCUGAGGUGCGAAAGCGUGGGUAGCGAACGGGAUUAGAAACCCUAGUAGUCC
rnacentral:rRNA from 1 species